AGUGAACGCUGGCGGUAGGCCUAACACAUGCAAGUCGAACGGCAGCACAGUAAGAGCUUGCUCUUACGGGUGGCGAGUGGCGGACGGGUGAGGCAUACAUCGGAAUCUACUUUUUCGUGGGGGAUAACGUAGGGAAACUUACGCUAAUACCGCAUACGACCUACGGGUGAAAGCAGGGGAUCUUCGGACCUUUCGCGAUUGAUUGAGCCGAUGUCGGAUUAGCUAGUUGGCGGGGUAAAGGCCCACCAAGGCGACGAUCCGUAGCUGGUCUGAGAGGAUGAUCAGCCACACUGGAACUGAGACACGGUCCAGACUCCUACGGGAGGCAGCAGUGGGGAAUAUUGGACAAUGGGCGCAAGCCUGAUCCAGCCAUACCGCGUGGGUGAAGAAGGCCUUCGGGUUGUAAAGCCCUUUUGUUGGGAAAGAAAAGCAGCAGGUUAAUACCCCGCUGUUCUGACGGUACCCAAAGAAUAAGCACCGGCUAACUUCGUG
rnacentral:rRNA from 1 species